rnacentral:rRNA from 1 species
CAUGGCUCAGAUUGAACGCUGGCGGCAGGCCUAACACAUGCAAGUCGAGCGGUAGAAAGUAGCUUGCUACUUUUGAGAGCGGCGGACGGGUGAGUAAUGCCUAGGAAUCUGCCUAGUGGUGGGGGAUAACGUUCGGAAACGGACGCUAAUACCGCAUACGUCCUACGGGAGAAAGCGGGGGACCUUCGGGCCUCGCGCCAUUAGAUGAGCCUAGGUCGGAUUAGCUAGUUGGUGAGGUAAUGGCUCACCAAGGCGACGAUCCGUAACUGGUCUGAGAGGAUGAUCAGUCACACUGGAACUGAGACACGGUCCAGACUCCUACGGGAGGCAGCAGUGGGGAAUAUUGGACAAUGGGCGAAAGCCUGAUCCAGCCAUGCCGCGUGUGUGAAGAAGGUCUUCGGAUUGUAAAGCACUUUAAGUUGGGAGGAAGGGUUGUAACUUAAUACGUUGCAAUUUUGACGUUACCGACAGAAUAAGCACCGGCUAACUCUGUGCCAGCAGCCGCGGUAAUACAGAGGGUGCAAGCGUUAAUCGGAAUUACUGGGCGUAAAGCGCGCGUAGGUGGUUUGUUAAGUUGAAUGUGAAAGCCCCGGGCUCAACCUGGGAACUGCAUCCAAAACUGGCAAGCUAGAGUACGGUAGAGGGUGGUGGAAUUUCCUGUGUAGCGGUGAAAUGCGUAGAUAUAGGAAGGAACACCAGUGGCGAAGGCGACCACCUGGACUGAUACUGACACUGA